rnacentral:rRNA from 1 species
UACGGAGGGUGCAAGCGUUGUCCGGAUUUAUUGGGUUUAAAGGGUGCGUAGGCGGCUUAUUAAGUCAGGGGUGAAAGACUGCAGCUCAACUGUAGCAGUGCCUUUGAUACUGAUGAGCUUGAGUACAGAUGAGGCUGGCGGAAUGGGUGGUGUAGCGGUGAAAUGCAUAGAUACCAUCCAGAACACCGAUUGCGAAGGCAGCCGGCUAAACUGUCACUGACGCUGAGGCACGAAAGCGUGGGGAUCGAACAGG